AUGGGCCUCCUGCGGCCUUGCUUCUUCCCCUGCCUUCUGCGCGGGCGAACCCCUUUUCGUCUUCCCAGGGAUAUUAGAAGAGAGCUAAAGAUAAAAGCGUUAGUGGUUCUUGAAUCGGCGCCAAAUAUGGACAUAGUCGUGCAAAGAUCCCUGACAGAGCGAGCCUGUCCAGAAUGCAACCAUCAUGAACUCGAAUAUUACACGAAGCAGCUUCGGUCGGCGGAUGAGGGGCAGACUAUCUUCUACGAGUGCCCGGAGUGCGGCCACGCGUUCAAUGAGAACAGCUAA
rnacentral:rRNA from 1 species